GAUAUGGUUUUGGCAGAGCAAUAAGAUGAGAGCUACCUGAUUAUUUAAGGACCCUUAUUUUGCUAAGCAGAUAGGUGUCUUGGUGAUUUUGAGUUUCUCGCGCCCCUGGCAUUUCCGAUUCCCACUUCCGGUUCCUGCUUCCGUUCAGUCUUUGACUGACGCUGGUGGCGCGUGCAUUAAGGCGAAUUGGCGCUGGAGAUCGCCGGUGGCUGAAUGAUGUGUAUGUUGAGCCGCUGUACCUGUGAAUAAUCAUACAACUUUAGUCUGGUGUUUGUUCAACCUAAUGGUGAGAGUGGGGAGUUGAGCUAAGUCUUUUCUAAGAUGAACUACUAGCCGAAGACGCUACAUGUGACGCCGCUGCUGUUUUGCUUUACCUGGUUUUUGUUUAAGUUAUUUUCUUCGUUUUAUUAAUUUUUUUCCAACAAUUGUCUUUCUUUAUUGGAUUGUUUUGCUUAGGCAAAACAAUCACUACUACUUACUUAUUGUUUUGGAUGUAUGUCUGGUUUGCUUUGUAACCACACAGAUUUGUUAUUCCACCUAACCACUUUACUACUGAGAGGGUAUAUGUUGAGCCUUACUGUCUCCAUGCUAUAGUGACCAUAACUCUGGUUCUGCUUGGGUGUUGUCAACUGCCUCCAUUUCUUGUGGUAGUGUCAGUGGGCCUGGGAGAUAUAGCUACCAUACCACAGUGUCGGUAAUAUUCGUCUUUCCGUGUCUUGUUGUUUAGUGUCUGUGUAACUUUGGGUUAACUGGUGUCGUCUGUCUCUCCAGGAGCCAGUGAGUCUUGGUGGGACAGGGGAGGCUAAAUGCAUCUAGUCGGGGGUGUGCCAACACAACUUCCCUGUAGUGUGGGGUUU